CCGAGUAGUAGCGGUCAAAUACGGGACAAGGGUGGUCCUGUAUGGAACAAACCAAUUUAGCCCAAUAUACGGGAUGUCCCGGAUAAUACGGGACAGUCGGCAACCCUGGAGCAGGGAGCAUCUCUGGAGAGAAGGAAUAGGU